rnacentral:rRNA from 1 species
GAUUGACCUCGGAUCAGGCAGGGAUACCCGCUGAACUU